rnacentral:snRNA from 1 species
AGAUAAAGCAAAAGGGGUAAGAUACAAAGACAAUAGGGUUGAUUUGACUGAUCUGGCUGACUAAGUGUGUGUCCCCUUCCUUCCUCGCUACUCCAUGUGUGUCCCUUUCGAAACUGGGUGCUAGGUGGAAAAGGAUGACCUUUCCUAUAGAAGAGAACUAUUCUUUGGUCAAGGGUACAUGACCCUGCUAGAGUUCCCAAACAAGCUCCCAAGUUCCAUUUGUAAGAGAACGCAGGGUAGUCAAGCUUCGAGACUGUAGACCCAUCCAAAUGAGGCACUGCCUGGAUAGUCCGUCUUUCUUU